UGCGUAGGCGGAAUAUUAAGUCAGUGGUGAGAUCCUGCGGCUCAACCGUAGAACUGCCAUUGAUACUGAUAUUCUUGAAUGUAGUUGAGGUAGGCGGAAUGUGUAAUGUAGCGGUGAAAUGCUUAGAUAUUACACAGAACACCGAUUGCGAAGGCAGCUUACUAAACUAUGAUUGACGCUGAUGCACGAAAGCGUGGGGAGCGAACAGGAUUAGAUACCCUGGUAGUCC
rnacentral:rRNA from 1 species